AUAGUUAUAUACAUAGGACAUUAAAUAUUUUAACAAAUUUUGAAUAAUUAUGCGGCCAAUUGGACAGGAAAUCUUAAUGUUUCAUCUUCGCUAUCUUAAGUACAAAAACCAAAAUAAACUAGAACUACACCACUCAUAAGCUUCAUUUUCACUUUUUCUCAAGUCUCAACUUUAGUGGGCCCCUUUUUCUUUGGAAACAAAAGGAAGACUAAAGAAAAG
rnacentral:misc_RNA from 1 species